UACGUAGGGGGCUAGCGUUGUCCGGAAUUAUUGGGCGUAAAGAGCGUGUAGGCGGUUCGAUAAGUCUGCUGUAAAAGUCGGGGGCUCAACCCUCGAAAGCCGGUAGAUACUGUCGAGCUAGAGUACGGAAGAGGCGAGUGGAAUUCCUGGUGUAGCGGUGAAAUGCGCAGAUAUCAGGAAGAACACCCGUGGCGAAGGCGGCUCUCUGGGACGGUACUGACGCUGAGACGCGAAAGCGUGGGGAGCGAACAGG
rnacentral:rRNA from 1 species